GGUUGUCAUGCCAAUGGCACUGCCCGGUAGCUAAAUGCGGAAGAGAUAAGUGCUGAAAGCAUCUAAGCACGAAACUUGCCCCGAGAUGAGUUCUCCCUGACCCUUUAAGGGUCCUGAAGGAACGUUGAAGACGACGACGUUGAUAGGCCGGGUGUGUAAGCGCAGCGAUGCGUUGAGCUAACCGGUACUAAUGAACCGUGAGGCUUAACCUUACAACGCCGAAG
rnacentral:rRNA from 2 species